UGGGGAAUAUUGCACAAUGGGGGAAACCCUGAACGAGCAAUGCCGCGUGAACGAUGAAGGCCCUAUGGGUUGUAAAGUUCUGUUGCAUGGGACGAACGGCUAGGAUAGGAAAUGAUCUUAGCGUGACGGUACCAUGCCAGAAAGCUCCGGCUAAUUCCGUGCCAGCAGCCGCGGUAAUACGGAAGGUCCGGGCGUUAUCCGGAUUUAUUGGGUUUAAAGGGAGCGCAGGCCGUCCUUUAAGCGUGCUGUGAAAUGCCGCGGCUCAACCGUGGCACUGCAGCGCGAACUGGAGGACUUGAGUACGCACGAGGUAGGCGGAAUUCGUGGUGUAGCGGUGAAAUGCUUAGAUAUCAUGAAGAACUCCGAUUGCGAAGGCAGCUUACCGGAGCGCAACUGACGCUGAGGCUCGAAAGCGCGGGUAUCGAACAGGAUUAGAUACCCUGGUAGUCCGCGCGGUAAACGAUGGAUGCCCGCCGUUGGGUUUUAGAAUUCAGCGGCCAAGCGAAAGCGUUAAGCAUCCCACCUGGGGAGUACGCCGGCAACGGUGAAACUCAAAGGAAUUGACGGGGGCCCGCACAAGCGGAGGAACAUGUGGUUUAAUUCGAUGAUACGCGAGGAACCUUACCCGGGCUUGAAUUGCAGGAGAACGAUCCAGAGAUGGUGAGGCCCUUCGGGGCUCCUGUGAAGGUGCUGCAUGGUUGUCGUCAGCUCGUGCCGUGAGGUGUCGGCUCAAGUGCCAUAACGAGCGCAACCCCUGUCCAUAGUUGCCAUCAGGUCGUGCUGGGCACUCUGUGGAGACUGCCGCCGUAAGGUGUGAGGAAGGUGGGGAUGACGUCAAAUCAGCACGGCCCUUACGUCCGGGGCUACACACGUGUUACAAUGGGGCAUACAGCGAGUUGGAUGUGCGCAAGUACGUCCGGAUCAAUAAAGUGCCUCUCAGUUCGGACUGGGGUCUGCAACCCGACCCCACGAAGCUGGAUUCGCUAGUAAUCGCGCAUCAGCCAUGGCGCGGUGAAUACGUUCCC
rnacentral:rRNA from 1 species